CAGGCUAAGAAAAAUAAUUGGAUA
rnacentral:miRNA from 1 species